GCCGAUGUAGCUCAGCCGGUAGAGCAACGCAUUCGUAAUGCGUAGGUCCGCGGUUCGAAUCCGCGCAUCGGCUCCA
rnacentral:tRNA from 2 species